rnacentral:snRNA from 1 species
GCUGAGGGAGAGGUCAGUAGCACAUAGACUAAAUUGGAACAAUACAAAAAAGUUUAGCAUGGCCCCCGCAACAGCAUGGCAUGCAUAUUUGUGAAGUGUUCCAUACUUUU